AACGUAGGUGGCAAGCGUUAUCCGGAUUUACUGGGCGUAAAGCGUGUGCAGGCGGGGGUACAAGUGGUGUAUGAAAUUUCCCAGCUUAACUGGGAAGGGUUAUGCCAGACUGUACUUCUGGAGUGCGAGAGAGGGGCGUGGAAUUCCGGGUGUAGUGGUGAAAUGCGUAGAGAUCGGGAAGAACAUCGGUGGCGAAAGCGCUCUGCUGGACUGCAACUGACACUCAGGGACGAAAGCUAGGGGAGCGAAUGGG
rnacentral:rRNA from 1 species